UACGUAGGGGGCAAGCGUUGUCCGGAAUUAUUGGGCGUAAAGAGCGCGUAGGCGGUCCGAUAAGUCGGCUGUGAAAGUCAGGGGCUCAACCCUUGGAAGCCGGCCGAUACUGUCGGAUUAGAGUCCGGAAGAGGCGAGUGGAAUUCCCGGUGUAGCGGUGAAAUGCGCAGAUAUCGGGAGGAACACCAAUGGCGAAGGCAGCUCGCUGGGACGGUACUGACGCUGAGGGCGCGAAAAGCGUGGGGGAGCAAACAGG
rnacentral:rRNA from 1 species